UCUUGGUCAUUUAGAGGAAGUAAAAGUCGUAACAAGGUUUCCGUAGGUGAACCUGCGGAAGGAUCAUUACCGAGUUUUCGAGCUCCGGCUCGACUCUCCCACCCUUUGUGAACGUACCUCUGUUGCUUUGGCGGCUCCGGCCGCCAAAGGACCUUCAAACUCCAGUCAGUAAACGCAGACGUCUGAUAAACAAGUUAAUAAACUAAAACUUUCAACAACGGAUCUCUUGGUUCUGGCAUCGAUGAAGAACGCAGCGAAAUGCGAUAAGUAAUGUGAAUUGCAGAAUUCAGUGAAUCAUCGAAUCUUUGAACGCACAUUGCGCCCCUUGGUAUUCCGGGGGGCAUGCCUGUUCGAGCGUCAUUACAACCCUCAAGCUCUGCUUGGAAUUGGGCACCGUCCUCACUGCGGACGCGCCUCAAAGACCUCGGCGGUGGCUGUUCAGCCCUCAAGCGUAGUAGAAUACACCUCGCUUUGGAGCGGUYGGCGUCGCCCGCCGGACGAACCUUCUGAACUUUUCUCAAGGUUGACCUCGGAUCAGGUAGGGAUACCCGCUGAACUUAAGCAUAUCAAUAGGCGGAGGAA
rnacentral:rRNA from 1 species